rnacentral:rRNA from 1 species
CCUACGGGAGGCAGCAGUGGGGAAUCUUGCGCAAUGCGCGAAAGCGUGACGCAGCAACGCCGCGUGGGGGAAGAAGGCCUUCGGGUUGUAAACCCCUUUCAGUUGGGACGAAGCUCCGGCCGUUAACAGCGGACCGGAGUGACGGUACCUUCAGAAGAAGCCCCGGCUAACUACGUGCCAGCAGCCGCGGUAAUACGUAGGGGGCAAGCGUUGUCCGGAAUCAUUGGGCGUAAAGAGCGCGUAGGCGGUCCGGUAAGUCUGCUGUGAAAGUCCAGGGCUCAACCCUGGGAUGCCGGUAGAUACUGUCGGGCUAGAGUCCGGAAGAGGCGAGUGGAAUUCCCGGUGUAGCGGUGAAAUGCGCAGAUAUCGGGAGGAACACCAAUGGCGAAGGCAGCUCGCUGGGACGGUACUGACGCUGAGGCGCGAAAGCGUGGGGAGCA